UACGGAGGGUGCAAGCGUUAUUCGGAAUUACUGGGCGUAAAGCGUGCGCAGGCGGUUUUGUAAGUCUGUCGUGAAAGCCCCGGGCUUAACCUGGGAAUUGCGAUGGAGACUGCAAGGCUUGAAUCUGGCAGAGGGGGGUAGAAUUCCACGUGUAGCAGUGAAAUGCGUAGAGAUGUGGAGGAACACCGAUGGCGAAGGCAGCCCCCUGGGUCAAGAUUGACGCUCAUGCACGAAAGCGUGGGGAGCAAACAGG
rnacentral:rRNA from 1 species